AUGGAAAAGAAGACAUCUGACAUUACCAGGAAGAGUAACGUUUGUAAAUAGUCAGGCAAUACCAAUAUUUACUUUUUUAGCAUCUGUUAUUCCAACCCUACAAAAGUAUGUUUUGAAAAUAGAUAACUUAGUGUUUCCGUUUAUCUGGAAUGGCAACACAGACAAAAUUUCAAGAAAAACAAAGGUUUGCAAUUUAAACAAAGGUGGUCUUAACUUGACUUCCAAUCUCAUAAUAUAGCACUUAAAUGUAACUGGAUAUUUAAAUUGUUAAACAAUAAGCUUGGGAAAUGGAAAAUCAUUUGCAAUUUAUUUUUAAACUCAUGUUGCCCAGACCUUUCAGUCCUCAAUAUGAAUUUUAAAAAAGCAAAGUGCUGUUCACAUAUUACAUUAAACCUUCCACAAUUUUAUAAAGAGUAUUCUGUUGGCAGGAACUGAACUCAACAAAGACUGUACAAAUCGAUUUACAGCCAACUAAUAUAAAAGCACAAAUAAUGUCUGUAACUCUUUGUGUUUUUGUUGAUUUAUUGCAGGAGGAAAGAAGAAACCUUUGAAGCAAGCCAAGAAAGAGCACAAGGAACUUGAUGAAGAUGACUUGGCCCUGAAGCAAAAGCAGAAGGAA